CCGACCGUAAUGCAUGGAACGGCCCUAUGGGUUGUAAACGUUCUUUCUCGUACUGGGAAAAAGAUCCACCGGUUGCGUGUAUUCCGGUGCUCGAUGGUACCGUAAGAAGUAAGCAUCGGCUAGACUACCGUGCCAGCAGCCGCGGUGAAUACGGAGCGACUGCAAGCGUUAUCCUGGAUUCAUUGGGUUUAAAGGGUGCGCAGGCGGAGUGAUAAGUCAGUGGUGAAAGCCUACAGCUUAACUGUAGAACUGCCAUUGAUACUGUCAUUCAUUGAGUAUUGUUGAGGUAGGCGGAAUGUGUCAUGUAGCGGUGAACAUGCUUAGAUAUGACACAGAACACCGAUCGCGAAGGCAGCUUACCAAGCAAUAACUGACGCUCAUGCACGAAAGCGUGGGGAUCAAACAGGAUUAGAUACCCUGGUAGUCCACGCCGUAAACGAUGAUCACUCGAUGUUGGCGAUACACAGUCAGCGUCUUAGGGAAACUAUUAAGUGAUCCACCUGGGGAGUACGGUCGCAAGAUUGAAACUCAAAGGAAUUGACGGGGGCCCGCACAAGCGGAGGAGCAUGUGGUUUAAUUCGAUGAUACGCGAGGAACCUUACCUGGGCUCGAACGUGGAAUGACAGUCGCGGAAACGUGAUCUUCCUUCGGGACAUUCUACGAGGUGCUGCAUGGUUGUCGUCAGCUCGUGCCGUGAGGUGUCGGGUUAAGUCCCAUAACGAGCGCAACCCCUAUCUUUAGUUGCCAUCAGGUAAUGCUGGGGACUCUAAAGAAACUGCCUACGCAAGUAGUGAGGAAGGCGGGGAUGACGUCAAAUCAGCACGGCCCUUACGUCCAGGGCUACACACGUGGUACAAUGGCCGGUACAGAGGGCAGCUACCUGGUGACAGGAUGCAAAUCUCCAAAGCCGGUCUCAGUUCGGAUCGAAGUCUGAAACUCGACUUCGUGAAGUUGGAUUCGCUAGUAAUCGCGCAUCAGCCAUGGCGCGGUGAAUACGUUCCCGGGCCUUGUACACACCGCCCGUCAAGCCAUGGAAGCUUGGGGUAUCUGAAGUUCGUGACCGCAAGGAGCGACCUAGGGUAAAACAGGUAACUAGGGCUAAGUCGUAACAAGGUAGCCGU
rnacentral:rRNA from 1 species